rnacentral:tRNA from 1 species
GCAUUCGUGGUGUAACGGUAGCACACUUGGCACCUAUUCGAGAAGUCCAGGUUCAAGUCCUGGCAAGGGCA